rnacentral:rRNA from 1 species
UGCGCAGGUGGGAUAGUAAGUCAGUGGUGAAAUACUGCCGCUUAACGGUAGGACUGCCAUUGAUACUGCUGUUCUUGAGUAUGGUUGAGGUAGGUGGAAUGUGUUGUGUAGCGGUGAAAUGCAUAGAUAUGACACAGAACGCCGAUUGCGAAGGCAACUUACUAAGCCAUUACUGACGCUGAGGCACGAAAGCGUGGGGAGCGAACAGGAUUAGAUACCCUGGUAGUCC